ACUCAAAGGAAUUGACGGGGGCCCGCACAAGCAGUGGAGUAUGUGGUUUAAUUCGAAGCAACGCGAAAAACCUUACCAGGUCUUGACAUCCAACUAACGAGGCAGAGAUGCAUAAGGUGCCCAUUCGUGGGAAAGUUGAGACAGGUGGUGCAUGGUUGUCGUCAGCUCGUGUCGUGAGAUGUUGGGUUAAGUCCCGCAACGAGCGCAACCCUUACUGUUAGUUGCUACGCAAGAGCACUCUAGCAGGACUGCCGUUGACAAAACGGAGGAAGGUGGGGACGACGUCAAAUCAUCAUGCCCCUUAUGACCUGGGCUACACACGUACUACAAUGGCCGAAACAAAGGGAAGCAAGGGAGCGAUCCGGAGCAAAACCCCAAAAACGGCCUCAGUUCGGAUUGCAGGCUGAAACUCGCCUGUAUGAAGUCGGAAUUGCUAGUAAUCGCGAAUCAUCAUGUCGCGGUGAAUACGUUCCCGGGCCUUGCACACACCGCCCGU
rnacentral:rRNA from 1 species